rnacentral:rRNA from 1 species
AUCCUGGCUCAGGACGAACGCUGGCGGCGUGCUUAACACAUGCAAGUCGAACGGAAAGGCCCCCACCUUGGUGGGGGUGCUCGAGUGGCGAACGGGUGAGUAACACGUGGGUGAUCUGCCCUGUACUUCGGGAUAAGCUUGGGAAACUGGGUCUAAUACCGGAUAGGACCAUGGUUUAGCAUCUCAUGGUGGAAAGAUUAUUGUUUUGGUGUAGGAUGAGCUCGCGGCCUAUCAGCUUGUUGGUGGGGUAAUGGCCUACCAAGGCGUCGACGGGUAGCCGGCCUGAGAGGGUGGACGGCCACAUUGGGACUGAGAUACGGCCCAGACUCCUACGGGAGGCAGCAGUGGGGAAUAUUGCACAAUGGGCGCAAGCCUGAUGCAGCGACGCCGCGUGGGGGAUGACGGCCUUCGGGUUGUAAACUCCUUUCGUUAGGGACGAAGCCGCACCUUUUUUGGGUGUGGUGACGGUACCUUUGUUAAGAAGCACCGGCUAACUACGUGCCAGCAGCCGCGGUAAUACGUAGGGUGCGAGCGUUGUCCGGAAUUACUGGGCGUAAAGAGCUCGUAGGUGGUUUGUUGCGUCGUCUGUGAAAUUCCGGGGCUUAACUUCGGGGUGGCAGGCGAUACGGGCAUAACUAGAGUGCUGUAGGGGAGACUGGAAUUCCUGGUGUAGCGGUGGAAUGCGCAGAUAUCAGGAGGAACACCGAUGGCGAAGGCAGGUCUCUGGGCAGUAACUGACGCUGAGGAGCGAAAGCAUGGGGAGCGAACAGGAUUAGAUACCCUGGUAGUCCAUGCUGUAAACGGUGGGCGUUAGGUGUGGGGACUGGUUUUGGUUUCUGUGCCGUAGCUAACGCAUUAAGCGCCCCGCCUGGGGAGUACGGCCGCAAGGCUAAAACUCAAAGGAAUUGACGGGGGC